rnacentral:rRNA from 1 species
UACAGAGGUCUCAAGCGUUGUUCGGAAUUAUUGGGCGUAAAGCGCGUGUAGGCGGCUUAGCAAGUCGGGCGUGAAAGCCCUCGGCUCAACCGAGGAAGUGCACCCGAAACUGCUGAGCUUGAGUGCCGGAGAGGAUGGCGGAAUUCCCCAAGUAGAGGUGAAAUUCGUAGAUAUGGGGAGGAACACCGGUGGCGAAGGCGACCAUCUGGACGGAUACUGACGCUGAGACGCGAAAGCGUGGGUAGCAAACAGG